rfam:Ficedula albicollis isolate OC2 chromosome 1A, whole genome shotgun sequence.
ACAAAGGCUCUUUUCAGAGCCACCCACUUAUUUCAUAAAAAAGAG